UGUUAAACCCGUGUGAUAACGACUGUCGAUUUCCGGCCACGCGAGGAUAAAAGUAAUACAAUGAGAAUGAACAACCAUGUGUAUUGACCAUGCAUGUUAUGUAUGUUUGAUUCUAGACUACAGGAUACCGGGUUCGAGGCUCGUUGCUGACAUUAUAAUGGUCCCCCUUGUGUAAUAACAAAUACAAUUAUGAAGUGUUUGACUAUGUUUUGUUUGAUGUGGGGGAUAGUGCAUGGAACGAGGACGCAACCUCAUACAAGAAACCUGAUCUCAGUGCAAGAGCAAUCAGUCCAGCCCAUUGCCUCAAUUUCUGCAGUUCCUGGCUAUAAUCAAGGAAUGAAAAAACGAGAAGAAUUCCUGUUCGAUCUUCUGGAAAGCAGUCGGUUGGAUUGACCAUUGUUACAUCAGGAACGAAAGGAAGAAAUAAAAGAAAUAAAUUCUAGAAUUAAAAUAACCAACUUAUUAAUUUACUUAUGUAUUUCAGUAAGGUUUAAUUUUGAGGGUGUAGUGGUUUGUUUUGUUCAAUGGAAUAGAUUAUGUAUAUGUAAAACACAGCAUAAUAAAAAGAAAAUCAUUAGUUGGAUAUUGGGUUUGUUCCAAAACACCUCGUCAUAUCUUUAAUAAAUGCACUUACGCCCUCUGCUGGUACUGUUGCUUUAUUGAUCCUCACCAAUAGGUGGCGAACAAGAGUUGCACGAGUAUAAUAAAUGGGGACAAAACAUGAGACAGUUUCAGUUAAUAAAUAUAUUACUAUUACUGUUUAAUUUAGUUAGAACAAAAACUUUUGUUUUGUAAAGUUUAAUUAUGUUGCGAAUAAAGGGAAUUACCCGUAAAAGGGAAUGGCCGCCAUAUUGGAUUUAGUGACGUCAUACACCUCAUUGUUGCACCACGGAAACAUCGUCAUCAAUAUAUUAUGUCAACAAUCUUCUGGCAAUUGUUUGUUCUGUGCUCUGAUGUUUCAUCAGCCGUACAUUGAGACAUCAUAUACCAUAAAGUGCCAAACAUAGAAAUCAUCAAGAUCCGUUAACGAGAGUCAACAUAAUGAUCAUUGUGACAUCAUUAUUCCAAACCAUAUUCCAGAAUUGGUUGAGGGAUUGCAUUGUGGGUGAUUGCGCAAUAAUCAAGUUGUUUCCGAGGGCUUGGGGUUCCUGGAACAAACACAGCACCAACACAGCAACAACAAUAAUAAGAUGAACACAACAACGCCCAACGCGGAUGAUACAGCAAUAAUUACAACAAUAAGGAUACGGGCAGGCACACGACGGCGGCGACGUUGCACCAACAACACAUGUACCUCCGUUCGAACAAUAACCAUUGCAUAUAUCUGUAACGUAACAUUAUGACAUCACCAGCAUUAUGACAUCAUACUUACUUAUCUGACAAUGAUCGCCAUAGUAACCCUCGUAACAAUCGCACGUUGGUUCCGCUUCAGUGAUUCGACAACUUCCUCCAUUAUGACACGGGUAGUCGGAACAAACGGCUACAAACGAGCAGGUCGUUCAGCAAUAUCAUGCAAUUCAUCGAUUGGUCCAAUCGUGCCGAGGUUUUUGUAUUCUGUUUCAAACCCAUCUAAGCCAUCUGUACCUUUCCUGGGGUUGGGCCAUCUUUUCUCCAAUCUGAUUGGUCGGAAAAGCCGUCGUACCAAACGUGGAAACUUCGGCCAACAAUUUGUGAAG